rnacentral:rRNA from 1 species
ACGAACGCUGGCAGCGUGGAUUAGGCAUGCAAGUCGAACGUGAAGCCGAUGAACAAUCUUUCGGGAGAGUGAUUCGGUGGAAAGUGGCGAAAGGGUGAGUAACGCGUGGGUAAGCUAUCUUGAAGUUUGGGACAACCCGCCGAAAGGCGGGCUAAUACCGAAUGUGGUCGCUGGAUGCAUAUCCGGAUGAUUAAAGGUGGGGCUCCUUUUGGACCUGCCGCUUUUAGAGGUGCCCGCGUGCCAUCAGCUAGUUGGUAGGGUAACGGCCUACCAAGGCUUACGGCUAGCCGGCCUGAGAGGGUGACCGGCCACACUGGGACUGAGACACUGCCCAGACUCCUACGGGAGGCUGCAGUCGAGGAUCAUUCGCAAUGCGCGAAAGCGUGACGAUGCGACGCUGCGUGGAGGAUGAAGGCCUUCGGGUCGUAAACUCCUGUCAUGAGGGAACAGCCAUCUUACCCCGAAUACGGGUAGGAUCCGAUGGUACCUCAAGAGGAAGCCACGGCUAACUCUGUGCCAGCAGCCGCGGUAAUACAGAGGUGGCGAGCGUUGUUCGGAUUUACUGGGCGUAAAGGGUGCGUAGGUGGUUUCGUAUGUCGGAUGUGAAAGCCCAUGGCUCAACCGUGGAAUUGCAUUCGAAACUGCGGAACUAGAGUGCAGGAUGGGAGAGCGGAAUUCUUGGUGUAGCGGUGAAAUGCGUUGAUAUCAAGAAGAACACCCGGUGGCGAAGGCGGCUCUCUGGAAUGUCACUGACACUGAGGCACGAAAGCUGGGGGAGCAAACAGGAUUAGAUACCCUGGUAGUCCCAGCCGUAAACGGUGCACACUUGGUGUGGGGAGAUUUAACCCUCUCCGUGCCGGAGCUAACGCGUUAAGUGUGCCGCCUGGGGAGUACGGCCGCAAGGCUAAAACUCAAAGAAAUUGACGGGGGCCCGCACAAGCGGAGGAGCAUGUGGCUUAAUUCGAUGCAACGCGAAGAACCUUACCAGGGCUUGACAUAUACCUGCACGCCCCUCGAAAGGGGGGAAGCCUUUGAGGGUGGUAUACAGGUGCUGCAUGGCUGUCGUCAGUUCGUGCUGUGAGGUGUUGGGUUAAGUCCCGUAACGAACGCAACCCUUGUGGUUAGUUGCCACCGGCGGUGAUGAGCCGCCGAGCACUCUAGCCAGACUGCCCGUACAAGCGGGAGGAAGGUGGGGAUGACGUCAAGUCAGUAUGGCCCUUACGCCCUGGGCUGCACACGUGCUACAAUGGACGGUACAAUGGGAUGCAAUACCGCGAGGUGGAGCAAAUCCUCAAAGCCGUCCUCAGUUCGGAUUGAAGUCUGCAACUCGACUUCAUGAAGUUGGAUUCGCUAGUAACGGCGCAUCAGCUACGGCGCCGUGAAUACGUUCCCGGGCCUUGUACACACCGCCCGUCACAUCAUGAAAGCCGUCUGCACCCGAAGUCGCUGAUCUAACCCGCAAGGGAGGAAGGCGCCGAAGGUGUGGGUGGUGAUUGGGAUGA